rnacentral:RNase_P_RNA from 15 species
GGAAGGAAGCUCACUGUAGAGGUCACGCGCUGGGUGUAUCGAUCACCCUCCUUGCUACCUUUGGGAAGGUCUGAGAGAAGGGCCAAGUGUCGCCUUAGCAGGGCGCCAUCUUAGGAAGGUGGGUGAGUUCCCAGCAAUAGGGGUCUCCUGUAAUGCCCCAGUUUGAGGCAGGAGAAGCGGGGCUGGAGGGGCUACUCCCUCCUUCCUGCGGAUGCCUCCGUGGCUUACGCGGGGCUUGGGAAUGACUCACGGCCGGCAACGUUGAGUACAAUGGGCAGAGGUGAAGCGGCCGCUUCAUAACCCAAUUCAGACCACUCUCCGGAAUUCC